UCACUGGAGAGAUGGUUAGAAUGAUACCUCACCAGAACACACUAGGAGUUGUAUCGUCUCAAAGCCAUCUUCAAGGAAGGCAAUUGCCAGAUAACAGAGGGUAAUAAAUAUACGAGGAACUCAAUGCCAUUCACCAGGUCUUCCAGACUGGUCAGAGGCAUCAAGCUGGUAUGAGAAAGAGGAGAUGCAGUCCUAACACAGAUGUGCCAAGAGCCUGACAUCACUACAAGUGCCAGGUGACUGACUGAUGGAUGAGAUUCCGGGGCUCAGUGAUGAUAUCAAAAGAACAUCAACAUUAUCUGACUAUAAAGACACCCAGUGUCACCAGAAGGUUGAGAAGUUUUCUGCCACAGCCUACCACCCAAGCCUCCUGUGAGCGCACUACCUGCCUCUCCAAGCCUCUUCUCCCUCACUACAGUAACUGUCUGCCCCUCAGUUACUUACGUGAUUGUGUGCUCAUCGGUGGUCUCAGAGAAAGAAAGAAAGAAAGAAAGAAAGAAAGAAAGAAAGAAAGAAAGAAAGAAAGAAAGAAAGAAAGAAAGAAAGAAAGAAAGAAAGAAAGAAAGAAAGAAAACACUAUCUUAGAAUUCACAAAGCUUUCCUACCUGACAUUUUUUACUAUAGGUUAUCAGGCAGGUCACUUUUUACAGAUCUAUUCCAGCUCUCUUUCUUUUUACUUUGAGUUGUAAGAUAGAAAAAACUGGCCUUGUAUUUACCUGUUAACAGUGACCUGAUUAUCUCUAUAUUUCAGUUCUAGGCUGCAUUCCCCAUGUUCUCCCUCUUACCCAGCUUAGCACAAUUGGCUUCACAUGUGACAGCAGGUGCCCAGUGCAACAGCCUCCAUGUGGGGGAUCUCCAUGUGGAUCAGGUCACAGAGAAUCCCUUCCCACAAUCUGUGUGAUAACGGGCCACACUAUGCGUAGCAUGUCAUGUGGAACAGCUACUGUGGAUAGCAAUUUCCAACCUUUAUGCCACUGUUGUUUUAGGACUCCCGCUCCUAACGUUCUUAUCCUCCUUCCUACUUAACCUCAAGGAAGUUUAAAUGAACAUAUAACAUUCAUGGGGUAUAUUUUACACAAUUGUACAGGGAAUUGCAUGAUCUCUCUCCUCCCUUUCCGUCAAGAUAUGGACUUGGCCAGAAGAAUGCUCAUAUGCUAAUCCACAUGGAGGUUCAAUCUGUCGAUGGCUGAUAACCAUGACAGCUGUGUGAAACCUCUACAUUUGAGGCACUAUGUCUCUAUCAGUUGCUUGGAAGCAAUAAUAGGAGAGACAUGUUGCCUUCAUGCCCUGAUUGUGAGCUUUCCAUUAGUAUCUGGUUAGCCACUGUGUAAAACUGCUGGAGUAGAUGGACAUUUAGUCUGAUCCAGCAGGGCUCUUCUUAUGUUCUUACAUAAGCCACUUUCAAUGUAGCUGCUACUUUACAGUGAAGAGGAAACAUCAACCUUCUUGUCAUAGUUCUUUAUGUACAAGGGAUUUUACUCCUUUUCUCUAUAGGGCCUUUUCAGUUGUGGCUCCCCAUUUAUGGAAUGGUUUCCCCAGUGAGGUCCACCUGACACCUUCACUGACAUCUUUUCAGUGCCAUGCUUGCUUCUACUGUAGGUCAGAUAUGGGAACUUGUGGCAGUCCAGAUGCUGUUGGACUACAACUGCCAUCAUCCCUGACCUUUGGCAAUGCUGGCUGAGGCUAAUGGGAGUUGGAGUCCAACAACAUCUGAAAGGUCACAGAUGUUGCCCACUCUUGCAGUAGAUACUGCCAUGGGAAGUACUAAUACUACUACAGGGUCACACAUGUCUAAUUUUAGGAGUUCAGGAGUAAGAUGAGCCCUCCAGCAGGAAAAGUAGUCCCUGUCCAGUGUCACUGCACAUUUCUCUGAAGCGGCACCCACAGAUGGGGUAGACCCCAUUCAUUUGAACUGAAAGAACUGAGUCACAUAUGCAUUCCUCUGCUUCAACAGAUCAGGUACCAUCACUUAAGUGAAUUCUUAUUGGUCCUGGUAUUCCACACCUGUAAGCAAUCUCUAAAUCAAGAACUGUGUCUGUAACUGCCAAUCAAGUCAAUGUUUUGCACAUAAAUAAACACAAGAGACAUUAAAAAUAAGACCAGGUGUUCCCUAAUGGUGCUUCAUUUAAAGAACUGCUUUUGAAAGUCAGUUUUUGAUGAAAGACAAAUAAAUACAAAAAUAGAAACACAUUCCCAGACUCAAUAAAAUCAAACUGGAUCAAGCACUUAAAAGGACAGACAAAUUAGAAUCAUUAAAGAAGAGCUGCUUAUAAACGCAAACAGGCAAUUUGCCACCUGCAAAAGCAACUACAAAGAAUCUGGAAGACUGCAAAAGACUGCAUUUGCUUGCAGUGAUGUUCAUGCAUAUAUACUUCCUCAGUCUUAAAAAAAAGUGAAUAGAAUCCACAUGCAGGAAAUGUUUGGCUUAAAGCUAGGAAAUAUAUGAUGAAUAUCAGUUAAGGCCAGGAUAAAAUCUGAAACACACGUUUCCUAUAUCAAUUUAUUGAGGAGGCUUUAGAACAGAUUUAUAAAGGAAAUGCACUCUGUUAAACCUGCUUGUAUCCUUUGAGUGCAUUUCUGAUGCUCAAACUACAUAUGAUUGGAACAAACUCAUUCACUGAAACCUGAAUCUGUCCCAAUCACAUAUAAAGCAGGAGGUCUGAUGGUUCCAGUUCGAGUGUGUAGGCAAGGAGAGCUGACCUGUCCCUGUGUGUACCAUUUACUUCCUCAUAGCCUCUCCCCAGCCACUUUUCUCUCAGCAGGGCUCUCUCCCAAUACUGAAGUCCAGAUGAUGGGAAAGUGACAUUAGAAGAGAUGGUGAGUAGGUAAGCUGUAGGCAGAACUGAGCCUUGGGCCCUACCUUUCCUCUCUCCUCUCCUCCCUCCCUUUUUCUACUGCUGUUGUGUCUUGUUUGAUUGUAAGUCUGAAAGCAGGGACUGUGUUAAUCUUUUUUAUUGAUUUUUAUUUACAAGCUGUUCUGGGCUCUUUUCCAGCUCAAGAUCAGGGUAUCAAUGCUUUGAAUUAUUAAUAAUAAUUAUAAUAAUAGUUUGAGCCUGGGAAAGAACACUUAAGUGAAAUGGAAUGCAUUACUUGCAUAGGCAGUGAGAAAUUCUACUGGGGGCAGGAUAGACAAACAUGCAUUUGUGACAUUACAUUCCUCAUGACAGUUAUACUGAAUAAUUGUCUGUCAUGCGAGGCAUCAACGUUUUUUAUGCAGUACCUUUUACAUGACUAACCCUAUAUAGGGAAGGAACAGGAUUGUGCCCACUGGCCCUCUGUCCUCACCACUGCCAGCUUUUGGAUACUGGAGGUCCUAUUUGGACAGGUUUCCUACACUUAUAUGUUUCAAUGUGGAUACACUCUCUGUGUGUGAUCCAUAGUGUAGGGAAAUCAAGCGUAUAGAUCCUACACUCAGAGCCUACAUGCUCUGACCAAUUUGCUUAGGACUCUGUGCUGAUAACUUGGGUGUUAGGUGUGGCAAGGAGGCACAGCUAGAGAACAGAUUCCAAUUCCUCACCACCAGCAACUAGGGAUGGAAAGAUCCAUCAAUUCCAGUUCUUUCCAGUUCUCAUUUUUUCAAACUUAAUUCAGUUCUUCACAUUUCUGCAGUAAUUUGCAGGGUUUUUUUGUUUUUUUUUAAAUCUUCAUGAAAAUUUUCCAGCAUUUUGGUGCCAAUUUCUCCCACUAAACUCAUUUUUGUAGGCAGUUUUGGCUAAUGUACCCAUUUUUGAAAGCAAUUUCUCGUCAAAUAAUGAAUUUUUGCAUGUUAUUUUCACUCAUAUUCAUUUUUAUGCACACUUUCCCCUAAUAUGUGCAUUUCUGCAAACAUUAGUUGGUUGGCGAACUGCAUUGCAAAAUUCAAGUAAGUGUGAAUUUUGACAGAUGGUGUGUUUAGGUUCUCAUAUUGUUUCAGAGAUUGCAAAUUUGACAAACAUGACUUGAAAUGCGAACUGAACCGAAAUUUUUGCCCAUCCUUAUCACCAGCCGUUUGUGCUUUGUAUGACAAUCUCUCCACAGGUUUGUGUAAAAAUCUUAGUAGAGAUAUCAAGAUGUUUUAUAAUGCAAUAGUGUAUUGUAAUAUAUAACUUGCACAAGAUUGCUGGUGGAUUGAGCAACAAUCCCCCUCCUCCCAAUAAUCUCCUACUCCAUUUACAGGCAGUGAACUGAACUGGCCAUUUCAGUGAUUUGUAAGGGAACAAAAUUCUUAGAAGGUUUAGGGUGAGUUUACCAACUGUUUUUGACCUGCCAUCAUAGCCAGCAGUGCCAAAACAACCUGGCAAUUGCCUUUUUUUAAUCCAGAGUGCUCUGGAACAUAGCAUCGUUCUUGGAGGGGGGAAUUGCAGUCACCAGUGGACAUCGUGUGGAAGGGUGCUCCACACACACCCAGUGGUAGCCACCACAGACAGUAGUGUGUGUGGCCAAGUGCUGUAGUAUAGAAUGUUUCUGCUUUUAUCAUGAGCAAUGGAACUAAACAGAGACGCUCAGGGUUGCAGAAGGAAACCCUUUGGGAAAAGGACAGGAAGCCUUGGGCAGGGUCUCAAGGAGGCACCACCCUUGUUUUGGAGCUUGCUGAAGGCAGGCUUAUAAGAGCAGAGGAAAAGGACAUACCAGAGAUUCCCCCCCCCCCUCUAACCAGGAACAUGAUGGAAACUUAACUGACAAAAUGUAAAGAAAUGAUGCAGGGAUGCAUGGAUCAAGAUCUGUGGACUUCCACAAAAAUUAUUGGCUGUAUUACUAAUGGGCAAAUUGAGUCUGAGAUGGGUGAAGCUCGUUUACCUCACUAGAAUGGUCCCAAACCAGUAAUGUACAAAAUGCCUGUGACCUUGGCAGUUGACAUAGACUUGAUCAUAACAAUGUUUUGUAAAAGUGACACUGCAGAUCUGUAUCCUUUAACCAGAUUGUGUUGUCGUUUUUUAUACUCCACUGGAAGCUCAGUUCUGAAACUGCUUAUUUUAAUAUAUAUCUCAUAAAUCAAAGGCUCAUAUUCAAUGAAAGCAACAGAACGCAAAAGGGGGGAAAGCUUUAUACGUUAUCAUAGAUAUAAAUUUUGAAUGAUAAAAGUGAUUUGCCACCAAGCCUUUAAUCAAAGGUGUCUUCAUACUAGCAAAGGCAUAAUUUGAUUUUGAUUUCAAUACACGGUACUCCAGUGGCAGGUACCUGACAUGUUACAAUCCAGAUUUGAUCUCUGAGGCAAUUAAGAGGAUAUUGUUUUAUGAGAGAAAUGGGAAUUGUUCUCUACUCCAUGAGAAAUGAGACAGACAAAACACCAACAGGUAGUUUAAUGAAGAAACAACUUUUAUUAGGAUUCAGAAUCAAUGAAUAUUUUUUUCAGUGCAAAUUCAAUUUCUCCAAUGAACAUAUUACUUUUUUCUGCUACAGAGGAAGGUUGUCAGCAGUGACAUACCUUACACCUUCUUCUGUUGUUCAUUUGGAACCAGCAAAAAGGAUAUACUAUGGUUAUUGUGCUCAUACCUAAGAUGGGGGUGGUGCUUCGAUGCACAACUAUAAUGGUCACCAAACUGUACCUUAAGCCAGAUCUGGGGAAUCUGUGUGGCGCUGCAGGUGAUGUUGGACUACACCUCCCAUUAUCCCCUGACUGUUGGCAAUACUGGCUAGGGCAGAUAGGGAUUAGAAUCCAACAACAUCUGCAGGGCUACAGGUUCCCCACCACUGCCUUAAGCAAACUGUCAAUGGGAAUUUGGAGGAAUGACAUCAAUGGAAUCUUGAGAGAAGCAAAAAGAGUUGCAAUAAGCCUAGAUAAAUAUCAGAGAAGGGGUUGGAUUCCACUGUUCCAUAAUUUCAUGCCCAAGACUCAGAAAAUGCUGAGGUAAGAUGAACACAUAUUAGGCAUGAGAAAAGCCUACCAGAACUCUAUCACUUCAAAUGCCUCAAGGCCUAGUCCAGGGGUGAGGAACUUGUGACCCUCCAACUGCUGUUGAAGUCCAACUUCCAUCAGCCCCAGCCAGCAUGGCCAAUGGUCGGGGAUGAUGGGAGACAGAGUCCAACAACAUUUGGAGGGCCACAGAUUUCCCACUCCUGGCCUAGUCUCUUUGUUGUUGCUGUUGUUGUUAUGUGCCUUGAAGUCGACUACAACUUAUGGCGACCCUAUGAAUCAGCAACCUCCAAGAGCAUCUGUCAUGAACCACCCUGUUCAGAUCUUGUAAGUUCAGGUCUGUGGCUUCCUUUAUGGAAUCAAUCCAUCUCUUGUUUGGUCUUCCUCCUUUUCUACUCCCUUCUGUUUUUCCCAGCAUUAUUGUAUUUUCUACUGAAUCAUGUCUUCUCAUGAUGUGUCUGAAGUAUGAUAACCUCAGUUUCAUCAUUUUAGCUUCUAGUGAUGGUUCUGGUUUAAUUUGUUCUAACACCCAAUUAUUUGUCUUUUUAAACUUUGUGUAAAGCCUAAACUGGAACUGCUGGAGACUGAUCAACUGGUACACAUAAAACACUGACAGGAUUCUUUAACACUACAGUUACUAUAGGUUGUUAGUACAGUAGGGCCCCGCUUUACAGCGUUCCGUUUUCCGGCGUCCCGCUGAUGCGGCAGCUUUCAAUUAGGGGAAAUUCCCCAUUUUAAAGCCAAUUUUGCGCUUUUGCGGCAUUUUGUGGCAUUUUCGCGCGAUGCAAUCCAUUAUAGUCAAUGGGUUCCGCUUUACGGCAAUUUCUGCUUUAUGGCGGGGGCCUGGUCCCUAACCCGCCAUAUAAGCGGGGCCCUACUGUAAUAUUGUACACUGUGUGGGUGUCUGCUGCCACUCACCAGCCCUGGACAUGUCAUUAAAGAAAAUCUCCAUGCACAGUUGAUAAGAUCAGGAUGCUCCUGCUCAAAAUAAACAGCUAAAGUGUUUUGAAGAAAUUAAAAAGAGUUUCAAUAAGACAUUUCCUGUAAGGGAUACUGAUGUGACUUCUUCUAAGGGAAAUUAUAGUGACCCUGACUUUGGUAAUGUCAUCUCUUGUCUUUAUUCUUCAGCGUUAAUUGCCAUAUUUGGCAAACAUCUGACAAAUAUCUUUCCCACUUUCUGUGGGAGUGCAUUUGCCUCCACCCCUCUCUGCUUCAAAGGAGACUCAGGUGGUUCAGACCCAAAGAGAGGAGGGAGGUCACAUGAGCCCUAGGGUCAAUCAGGAUGGGGCAAGGGAGCAUAGUUUAUAUGCCAACUCUGCCCCCACUCUCCCUCUUCUGCAUUUUGUUGGUCCUACCCUCCCACCCUUUCAGUAUGGGUUUUGCUAGUCUCUGCUUAGGGGCUGAGUAUGAAUUUGUGGGAUGGAGAUUCAUAGUUAGAAUCCCCCCCCCCAUUUUGCCUACUCCAUACUGCAGGGUUUAAUUCAUUUGGCUUUGGAGCGGUGUGGUUCUUGCCUUUUGGAGUUGAGUUCAGGAAGGUGAGGAGGCUGGGGUGGUUAUCAUGAGCUCUACUGGGGCAUUAUGGGGUUAGGGACACCCUUUGGCGAUCUCCCAGUGCUUUAUGCCUGGGUGGCACCUGGGGGUGCCCUUGGGUCCUAGCUUGUGCAUCAGGGCCCAGAAGUGCAGGAUGGGUGCCCACCCACCUAACAAGGAGGGAGGUGUUUCCUCCCCAUCCUGGGCUGGGGGACCACUGCCUUUGGCUGCUGACAUGCCCAGGGGACUGAGGGGGGAGUGUUUCCCCAUCAGAUGUAGUUAUAACCUCACCUGCCCAAAGAAUUUGAAUUUGGUUGAUUUGGUUUACAGAUUCUCCACAAUUUUUGCUGCAUUUUAAUAAAUAUAACAUCUUUCCAAUCUUGGUGUCUUGAGUCUUCUGUGGGGGUGUGGAGGCAAAGCCACUACUGCAAGAAAUAUCAGACAUUAACUGGGAUGCAUAGAACUAUCAGGCGAUGAUUGAUAAUGCUACUCUUCAUUAUCAUCCCAAAUGCCAAACUUGAAGACG